GACUCGUCACACUAUCAUUAACUGAAUCCAUAGGUUAAUGAGGCGAACCGGGGGAACUGAAACAUCUAAGUACCCCGAGGAAAAGAAAUCAACCGAGAUUCCCCCAGUAGCGGCGAGCGAACGGGGAGGAGCCCAGAGCCUGAAUCAGCAUGUGUGUUAGUGGAAGCGUCUGGAAAGGCGCGCGAUACAGGGUGACAGCCCCGUACACAAAAGCGCAUGUGCUGUGAGCUCGAUGAGUAGGGCGGGACACGUGGUAUCCUGUCUGAAUAUGGGGGGACCAUCCUCCAAGGCUAAAUACUCCUGACUGACCGAUAGUGAACCAGUACCGUGAGGGAAAGGCGAAAAGAACCCCGGCGAGGGGAGUGAAAAAGAACCUGAAACCGUGUACGUACAAGCAGUGGGAGCACAGGUUUACCUGUGUGACUGCGUACCUUUUGUAUAAUGGGUCAGCGACUUAUAUUCUGUAGCAAGGUUAACCGAAUAGGGGAGCCGGAGGGAAACCGAGUCUUAAUUGGGCGUUAAGUUGCAGGGUAUAGACCCGAAACCCGGUGAUCUAGCCAUGGGCAGGUUGAAGGUUGGGUAACACUAACUGGAGGACCGAACCGACUAAUGUUGAAAAAUUAGCGGAUGACCUGUGGCUGGGGGUGAAAGGCCAAUCAAACCGGGAGAUAGCUGGUUCUCCCCGAAAGCUAUUUAGGUAGCGCCUCGUGAAUUCAUCUCCGGGGGUAGAGCACUGUUUCGGCUAGGGGGCCAUCCCGGCUUACCAACCCGAUGCAAACUGCGAAUACCGGAGAAUGUUAUCACGGGAGACACACGGCGGGUGCUAACGUCCGUCGUGAAGAGGGAAACAACCCAGACCGCCAGCUAAGGUCCCAAAGUCAUGGUUAAGUGGGAAACGAUGUGGGAAGGCCCAGACAGCCAGGAUGUUGGCUUAGAAGCAGCCAUCAUUUAAAGAAAGCGUAAUAGCUCACUGGUCGAGUCGGCCUGCGCGGAAGAUGUAACGGGGCUAAACCAUGCACCGAAGCUGCGGCAGCGACGCUGAUGCGUUGUUGGGUAGGGGAGCGUUCUGUAAGCCUGCGAAGGUGGCCUGUGAGGGUUGCUGGAGGUAUCAGAAGUGCGAAUGCUGACAUAAGUAACGAUAAAGCGGGUGAAAAGCCCGCUCGCCGGAAGACCAAGGGUUCCUGUCCAACGUUAAUCGGGGCAGGGUGAGUCGACCCCUAAGGCGAGGCC
rnacentral:rRNA from 1 species